rnacentral:tRNA from 1 species
UUCGCUGGGCGGCGGGGCGACCGCCCCGGCGGUUUACUCCACCCCGCAGACGCCGCCGGCGUUCCAGCCGCCGCCGGCGGGA